CUGAAUGGGCUAGGGCAUACACCAAUGUACCAAACCCUAUCAAACUCCGAAUACCUUAUAUGUAAUCACAGCAGUCAGGCGGCGAGUGAUAAAAUCCGUCGUCAAGAGGGAAACAACCCAGACUACCAGCUAAGGUCCCUAAAUCUUACUUAAGUGGAAAACGAUGUGAAGUUACUUAAACAACCAGGAGGUUGGCUUAGAAGCAGCCAUCCUUUAAAGAAAGCGUAAUAGCUCACUGGUCUAGUGAUUUUGCGCGGAAAAUAUAACGGGGCUAAAGUAAGUACCGAAGCUGUAGACUUAGUUUACUAAGUGGUAGGAGAGCGUUCUAUUUGCGUCGAAGGUAUACCGGUAAGGAGUGCUGGAGCGAAUAGAAGUGAGCAUGCAGGCAUGAGUAGCGAUAAUUAAUGUGAGAAUCAUUAACGCCGUAAACCCAAGGUUUCCUACGCGAUGCUCGUCAUCGUAGGGUUAGUCGGGUCCUAAGUCGAGUCCGAAAGGGGUAGACGAUGGCAAAUUGGUUAAUAUUCCAAUACCAACAUUAGUGUGCGAUGGAAGGACGCUUAGGGCUAAGGGGGCUAGCGGAUGGAAGUGCUAGUCUAAGGUCGUAGG
rnacentral:rRNA from 1 species